CGGUAAUACGUAGGGUGCGAGCGUUAAUCGGAAUUACUGGGCGUAAAGUGUGCGCAGGCGGCGUCGCAAGUCGAGUGUGAAAGCCCCGGGCUUAACUUGGGAAUUGCGCUCGAAACUACGGUGCUGGAGUGUGGCAGAGGAAGGUGGAACUCCACGUGUAGCGGUGAAAUGCGUAGAGAUGUGGAGGAACACCGAUGGCGAAGGCAGCCUUCUGGGCCAACACUGACGCUCAUGCACGAAAGCGUGGGGAGCAAACAGGAUUAGAUACCCUGGUAGUCCACGCCCUAAACGAUGAUGACUAGUUGUUGGGGGAGUUAAAUCCCUUAGUAACGCAGCUAACGCGUGAAGUCAUCCGCCUGGGGAGUACGGUCGCAAGAUUAAA
rnacentral:rRNA from 1 species